AAUUUCUGCAGGAAUACCCAAAAUCUUAUAGGAAAUUAGGAUAAAUUAUUUUCUUAUAGGAAUUCCUAUAAUAAUUUGGGACUAGGAAUUCCUGUAGGAAAAAUUCUUAUAGGAAUUCCUGUAGGAAAAAUUCCUAUAGGAAUUUUUCCUAUAGGAAAAAUUGCUAUAGGAAAAAUUCCUAUAAGAAUUUGGGACAAAAUUCCUAUAGGAAUUCCUAUAGGAAAUUUUCAUAAGAAUUCAUUGGCCAUUAGUUAGAAUACAAAAGUAAAGGGAGCAUUGGAGCAUAAUCAGUUAAUCUUACCCAUUUUAGAAAACAGCAAUUGAACUAUGUGACAAAGAAACUACAGUAUAUAACAAUGUGUACAAGCCAAUCAAGUCUAUCCUUGGACAACCAAAAACAUUUCUCCAACAUGUUGUCAUUCUUCGAUGUGUUAGUUCAUUUGGAUUUGCAGAUGAAGUACUUGAAAGGUCAGUUUUAAUUGUUUGUAUCAUUAUAUUAACUAAUGACUAUACACAAAUUAUAUGAAAACUUUUCUCCAAUGAUUCCCCUUUGGCACUGCCUCUAUGUUUUCUGAGUCAGUUUCCAGAAAUAAAGAAUAUGCUCAAAUUGUUGUGGAUAGCCAAAAAUAUUUCUGUCAUCAAAUUAGGUUUUUUUCAGGGAUUUUUUAGGGCUGCCUCAAAAACUCAAUCUUGAAUUGGGUUUUGAAACUCAACCUUCUCACCAAAAGUUUCAUUGCUUUUGUGACAUGUGGAAAUUAGUUUGUGAAAUUUAAUUUGGAAAACCUGACAAUUAAAAAAGUGUCCCUUAGUGCCCCUGCUAAACUUGGCUAAACUCAAUCCUCUCAUGUCUGUGGUCCCCCAACUUUUUCAAAACUGUUUCUCAUCAGUCGAAAGUGAAUAUUUUUAUCAUUUUUUAAAAUAUUUUUGUUGGGGCAUGUCGGAAUAUUUUACUCUGUCUACAACCAGACAAUUUUACUUAUCAAGGGGAGAGUGCUGCCCUCGAUGGAUUAAUCAGACAAUAUCUGCCAUUGCAUACUGUUGCUGGAUUAAUGUUCAUUGGCCAUUAGUUAGAACACAAAAAUAAAGUUGGGAGCAUUGGAGCAUAAUCAGUUAAUCUUACUCAUUUUAGAAAACAGACAUUGAACUAUGUGACAAAGAAACUACAGUAUAUAACAAUGUGUACAAGCCAAUCGAGUCUAUCCUUGGACCAAACCAAAUACAUUUCUCCAACAUGUUGUCAUUCUUCGAUGUGUUAGUUCAUUUGGAUUUGCAGAUGAAGCACUUGAAAGGUCAGUUUUAAUUACUUGUAUCAUAUUAACUAAUGACUAUUAUACACAAAUUACAUGAAAACUUUUCUCCAAUGAUUCCCCUUUGGC